UUAGAAGCCCUUAAGCGCCCUGAACACACCUGAUCUCAUCUGAUCUCGAAAGUUAAACAGGGUGGUGCCUGGUCAGUACUUAGGUUAGAGACCACCCGGGAAUACCUGAGGCUGUUUUCCAGG
rnacentral:rRNA from 1 species